rnacentral:rRNA from 1 species
GAUGAACGCUAGCGGGAGGCUUAACACAUGCAAGUCGAGGGGCAUCACGGGGUAGCAAUACUCUGGUGGCGACCGGCGCACGGGUGAGUAACACGUAUGCAACCUGCCUCGUACAGGGGGAUAACCCGGAGAAAUUCGGACUAAUAUCCCAUAAUGAUAUUGAAAGGCAUCUUUUAAUAUUUAAAGCUCAGGCGGUACGGGAUGGGCAUGCGGAACAUUAGCUGGUUGGUAGGGUAACGGCCUACCAAGGCUACGAUGUUUAGGGGACCUGAGAGGGUUAUCCCCCACACUGGUACUGAGACACGGACCAGACUCCUACGGGAGGCAG